rnacentral:rRNA from 1 species
GACGAACGCUGGCGGCGUGCUUAACACAUGCAAGUCGAACGGGCCUGCCUUCUUUUUUGGGGGUGGGUUGGGUGGCGAACGGGUUAGUAUCACGUUAGUAACCUCCCCUUCGUUCCUGGAUAACCGCUUGAAAGGGCGGCUAAUACGGAGUGGUCCGUUUGGUCCGCAUGGGGUGGUCGGGAUAGAUUCGCUGUUUUUGGUGUUUCGGCGUGGGAUGGGCUCGCUGGGUAUGAGCUUGUUGGUGGGGUGAUGGCCUACCAGGGCGGUGACGGGUAGCCGGCGUGAGGGGGUGGGCGGCCACAGUGGGACGGAGAUACGGCCAAGAAGCCUGCGGGAGGAAGCAGUGGGGGGUAUUGCACAAGGGGCGGAAGACUAAUGGAGGGAGGUCGCGUGAGGGAUGGAGGCCUUCGGGUUGUGGACCUCUGGUUGCGGUGGGGAAGGCCCUGUGCGUGUGGUGGGGUUGACGGUAGCGGGUGAUGAAGCGCCGGCUAACUACGUG